CAGCAGCCGCGGUAAUACGUAGGGUGCAAGCGUUAAUCGGAAUUACUGGGCGUAAAGCGUGCGCAGGCGGUUAUAUAAGACAGAUGUGAAAUCCCCGGGCUCAACCUGGGAACUGCAUUUGUGACUGUAUAGCUAGAGUACGGCAGAGGGGGAUGGAAUUCCGCGUGUAGCAGUGAAAUGCGUAGAUAUGCGGAGGAACACCGAUGGCGAAGGCAAUCCCCUGGGCCUGUACUGACGCUCAUGCACGAAAGCGUGGGGAGCAAACAGGAUUAGAUACCCGUGUAGUCCCUGUCUCUUAUAA
rnacentral:rRNA from 1 species